rnacentral:rRNA from 1 species
UACGGCGAGUGAACCGGGAAGAGCUCAAAUUUGAAAUCUGGCGUGCUCAGUGCGUCCGAGUUGUAAUCUAUAGAGGCGUUUUCCGUGCCGGACUGUGUCUAAGUCCCUUGGAACAGGGUAUCAAAGAGGGUGAUAAUCCCGUACUUGACACAAUGACCGGUGCUCUGUGAUACGUCUUCUACGAGUCGAGUUGUUUGGGAAUGCAGCUCAAAAUGGGUGGUGAGUUCCAUCUAAAGCUAAAUAUUGGCGAGAGACCGAUAGCGAACAAGUACCGUGAGGGAAAGAUGAAAAGCACUUUGGAAAGAGAGUUAAACAGUACGUGAAAUUGUUGAAAGGGAAACGAUUGAAGUCAGUCGUGACUGAGAGGCUCAGCCGGUUCUGCCGGUGUAUUCCCCUCAGUCGGGUCAACAUCAGUUUUGUUCGGUGGAUAAGGGCAGCUGGAAGGUGGCACCUCCGGGUGUGUUAUAGCCAGCUGUCGCAUACAUCGAAUGAGACUGAGGAAUGCAGCUCGCCUUUAUGGCCGGGGUUCGCCCACGUCCGAGCUUAGGAUGUUGACAUAAUGGCUUUAAACGACCCGUCUUGAACCACGGRAC